rnacentral:rRNA from 1 species
UACAGAGGUCCCGAGCGUUGUUCGGAUUCACUGGGCGUAAAGGGUGCGUAGGUGGCGGGGUAAGUUUGAUGUGAAAUCUCCGGGCUUAACCCGGAAACUGCAUUGAAUACUAUUCUGCUCGAGGUUUGGAGGGGGGACUGGAAUUCUCGGUGUAGCAGUGAAAUGCGUAGAUAUCGGGAAGAACACCCGUGGCGAAGGCGGCUCUCUGGGACGGUACUGACGCUGAGACGCGAAAGCGUGGGGAGCGAACAGG